AUUGAACGCUAGCGGGAGGCCUAACACAUGCAAGUCGAACGAGUGGCGGACGGGUGAGUAAUGUAUGGGAAACUGCCUGAUGGCGGGGGAUAACUACUCGAAACGGUAGCUAAUACCGCAUACCAUCGGAUGUGCCCAGAUGGGAUUAGCUAGUAGGUGGGGUAACGGCUCACCUAGGCGACGAUCCCUAGCUGGUUUGAGAGGAUGACCAGCCACACUGGGACUGAGACACGGUCCAGACUCCUACGGGAGGCAGCAGUGGGGAAUAGUGCACAAUGGGCGCAAGCCUGAUGCAGCCAUGCCGCGUGUAUGAAGAAGGCCUUCGGGUUGUAAAGUACUUUCGGCAGGGAAGCGGUACCCGCAGAAGAAGCACCGGCUAACUCCGUGCCAGCAGCCGCGGUAAUUC
rnacentral:rRNA from 1 species